rnacentral:sRNA from 1 species
AUAAAUAUCGAAUGAAAGUAGUGUAUGCUGAAACUAAACCAUAAGAAGAAGGAUAUCCUUGUAAUGUUCCAUCGUCUUUAGCGUUCAGAAAAUAACUCUUAGGGUAAAUUUAGUUGGCUAAAACAAUCGGUGGCCUAAAGUUAGGUAGAGAAUAGAGACCUCGAUCUUAAGUUGAUUUUAGUAGGCUAAAAAUGAUCGGUGGCUUAAGGAUAGAGGGAGAGACUAGAAAGACCUACAUUGUAGAAGAUAGAAAAAAAAGAAAUUUUCACAGAAGUGGCUGAAAAAAAAAUUGUUCUCAUGAUUUGGUAAAGUGAGAUGUGGUUUUCACCGUUUGUCUUUUGAAUGGUUUUUGGACCAAAAUAUUUUUAAUGGGAUCAACCAAACCUCACACCAGUUGGUUUUGGUUUAGUUUCUAUGGUUCAGUUUUGAAAAAAAAGA